UUUUUGUGACUGAGUGGCGGACGGGUGAGUAACGCGUGGGAACCUGCCUCAUACAGGGGGAUAACAGUUGGAAACGACUGCUAAUACCGCAUAAGCAAGCAUGAUCCAGUGUGAAAACUCCGGUGGUAUGAGAUGGACCCGCGUCUGAUUAGCCAGUUGGCGGGGUAACGGCCCACCAAAGCGACGAUCCCUAGCUGGUCUGAGAGGAUGACCAGCCACACUGGAACUGAGACACGGUCCAGACUCCUACGGGAGGCAGCAGUGGGGAAUAUUGCACAAUGGGCGCAAGCCUGAUGCAGCCAUGCCGCGUGUAUGAAGAAGGCCUUCGGGUUGUAAAGUACUUUCAGCGGGGAGGAAGGGAGUAAAGUUAAUACCUUUGCUCAUUGACGCUACCCGCAGAAGAAGCACCGGCUAACUCCGUGCCAGCAGCCGCGGUAAUACGGAGGGUGCAAGCGUUAAUCGGAAUUACUGGGCGUAAAGCGCACGCAGGCGGUUUGUUAAGUCAGAUGUGAAAUCCCCGGGCUCAACCUGGGAACUGCAUCUGAUACUGGCAAGCUUGAGUCUCGUAGAGGGGGGUAGAAUUCC
rnacentral:rRNA from 1 species